rnacentral:rRNA from 1 species
CCCCUAGAUGUUCUGGGCCGCACGCGCGCUACACUGAACAGUUCAACAAGUCUUAACCUUGGCCGAUAGGUCUGGGUAAUCUUUGAACGCUGUUCGUGAUUGGGAUAGACCUUUGCAAUUAUGGGUCUUCAACGAGGAAUUCCUAGUAAACGCAAGUCAUCAGCUUGCAUUGAUUACGUCCCUGCCCUUUGUACACACCGCCCGUCGCACCUACCGAUUGAGUGGUCCGGUGAAAUCUCGGGACGGCGGCUUGGUCGCUUGCGUCCGACUGCUGAAACUUGAUUAAACCAUAUCAUUUAGAGGAAGGUGAAGUCGUAACA